UAAGAUAAUUGUACACCUCUUUCAUAGUCACCUUGCCAUCAUUAGUAUAAAUCCAUCUCAUCUCAUUUGGAAUUUUGUAGUUUUUUGAUACAUGGACUAUGGGACAUCUCUAUACACCCGAUAUGCGAGAGGAAGAUUCCAAAAUCAUCUCAUUUUCAAGUAAUUUGAUCACAAGUGUUCUUCUCCAUUAUUUCCAUAAAGUUUUUUUUUUGUCUGUUAUUAGUUGAAAGAUACGAUAUAUGUUCCUCAUUGUCCUCAUCGUCCACGACUUAAGAAGAUCACACCAAUCUUUUGGACGAUUGCUAUCGUCCAUU
rnacentral:lncRNA from 1 species